rnacentral:rRNA from 1 species
AGUGAACGUCGGCGGCGUGGAUUAGGCAUGCAAGUCGAGCGAGAACCGUAGCAAUACGGGGACAGCGGCGAAAGGGACAGUAAUGUGUAGGUACCUACCUCCGGGUUCGGGAUAGCUGCGGGAAACUGCAGGUAAUACCGAAUAACGCCUCCGGACCAAAGGUGUGAUUCCACCUGGAGAGGGGCCUGCAUCCUAUUAGUUUGUUGGCGGGGUAACGGCCCACCAAGGCGACGAUGGGUAGCGGGUGUGAGAGCACGACCCGCGUCAUUGGGACUGAGACACUGCCCAGACACCUACGGGUGGCUGCAGUCGUGAAUCUUCGGCAAUGGGCGCAAGCCUGACCGAGCGACGCCGCGUGCGGGAUGAAGGCCUUCGGGUUGUAAACCGCUGUCGUAGAGGAGGAAAUGCAGGGGGGUUCUCCCCUCUGUUUGACCUAUUCUAGGAGGAAGUACGGGCUAAGUUCGUGCCAGCAGCCGCCGUAA